UCUUUGUCAGUACUUCCCCGCUGAUGGUUCAAGUGCCUGGGUUGUCCUGCGCCAUGGCAAGAAAGCUUGGUCAGUGGAAAUUGUCAGCCAUGAGUUUCGCAGAAACUGGAAUGAGUUCCAUCAGGCCCAUCAGUUAGAAGUUGACCAUAGGAUUGUUUUUUCAUGCGAGCGCAAUCUACAUACUGCUUGCUUGCCUUCAAUCCUUGUCGAUUCUCAUGCAGUGCUUAAGUUUAUUUACUUCAAUGUAUAUGGGCCUGACCUGCGCAGUGAGUUCAACCUUCGGCUUAGGCAUGUUUUUGGGAUGCUUGCACUGGAGCAGAUGGAGAUCAAAAUGGGUAGCCGAACUUGGAUUAUCCCAGUUCAAAACUUGCAGGUGAAUAUUGAAGCAUUCAAUCAGUUUGCUACUGCACUCUUUGUUCAGUGUCUCAAUCAUGUCAUGGUUUGUCAU